rnacentral:rRNA from 1 species
UUUAUGUCGGCGACCGGCGCACGGGUGAGUAACGCGUAUCCAACCUACCCAUAACUAAGGGAUAAUCCAGCGAAAGUUGGACUAAUACCUUAUGUAUUCGUUUGACCUCAUGAGAUUACGAAUAAAGAUUUAUCGGUUAUGGAUGGGGAUGCGUCUGAUUAGCUUGUUGGCGGGGUAACGGCCCACCAAGGCAACGAUCAGUAGGGGGUUCUGAGAGGAAGGUCCCCCACAUUGGAACUGAGACACGGUCCAAACUCCUACGGGAGGCAGCAGAU